rnacentral:rRNA from 1 species
UACGGAGGGUGCAAGCGUUAUCCGGAUUUACUGGGCUUAAAGGGUGCGCAGGCGGAUAUGUAAGUCCGUGGUGAAAUCUCCGGGCUUAACCCGGAAACUGCCGUUGAUACUAUAUAUCUGGAAUGCUGUGGAGGUAAGCAGAAUAUGUCAUGUAGCGGUGAAAUGCUUAGAGAUGACAUAGAAUACCGAUUGCGAAGGCAGCUUACUACGCAGAGAUUGACGCUCAGGCACGAAAGCGUGGGGAGCAAACAGG